CCUACGGGGGACAGCAGUGAGGGAUAUUGGUCAAUGGGGGAAACCCUGAACCAGCAACGCCGCGUGAGGGAAGACGGUUUUCGGAUUGUAAACCUCUGUCCUCUGUGAAGAUAAUGACGGUAGCAGAGGAGGAAGCUCCGGCUAACUACGUGCCAGCAGCCGCGGUAAUACGUAGGGAGCGAGCGUUGUCCGGAUUUACUGGGUGUAAAGGGUGCGUAGGCGGCCCUGCAAGUCAGAAGUGAAAUCCAUGGGCUUAACCCGUGAACUGCUUGGCUAGAGUGCGUCAGAGGGAGGUGGAAUUCCACGUGUAGCAGUGAAAUGCGUAGAUAUGUGGAAGAACACCGAUGGCGAAGGCAGCCUCCUGGGACGCAACUGACGCUCAGACACGAAAGCGUGGGGAGCAAACAGGAUUAGAUACCCGGGUAGUC
rnacentral:rRNA from 1 species